AGUGAACGCUGGCGGUAGGCCUAACACAUGCAAGCCGAACGGCAGCACAGUAAGAGCUUGCUCUUACGGGUGGCGAGUGGCGGACGGGUGAGGAAUACAUCGGAAUCUACUUUUUCGUGGGGGAUAACGUAGGGAAACUUACGCUAAUACCGCAUACGACCUACGGGUGAAAGCAGGGGAUCUUCGGACCUUGCGCGAUUGAAUGAGCCGAUGUCGGAUUAGCUAGUUGGCGGGGUAAAGGCCCACCAAGGCGACGAUCCGUAGCUGGUCUGAGAGGAUGAUCAGCCACACUGGAACUGAGACACGGUCCAGACUCCUACGGGAGGCAGCAGUGGGGAAUAUUGGACAAUGGGCGCAAGCCUGAUCCAGCCAUACCGCGUGGGUGAAGAAGGCCUUCGGGUUGCAAAGCCCUUUUGUUGGGAAAGAAAAGCAGCAGGUUAAUACCCCGCUGUUCUGACGGUACCCAAAGAAUAAGCACCGGCUAACUUCGUG
rnacentral:rRNA from 1 species